GUGUUUUUAAAUAUUCGCCCCAUUGCCGUUGCUUUGGCGCUUUAGCUGUAUGAUAGAUUUAAAUACUUCAUAAAGCUAGAUUACCAAAGCAUUGGCUCUGUGGCCAAACCCCAGCGAACUUG
rnacentral:precursor_RNA from 15 species